rnacentral:misc_RNA from 1 species
UCUGGAGCAGGACGCCAACUGGCGCCGCAGGCCAACAGGCCGCCACAGCUGCACAGGAUCGACGACAGAGACAUCCGGCUCUUGCUACUCGCAUCUAUUGCAUUCGGGGGAUUAGCUCAGCUGGCUAGAGCACCUGCUUUGCAAGCAGGGGGUCAACGGUUCGAAUCCGUUAUUCUCCACCAGGGAAAAGAGCCCAGGCUCUGUUCCGAGCGAACAUUGACAUGUUGGAAGCUGAGUGAUGAGAAAUCAUCACAAUACGAGCAAAUCGAAGAAUCAAGACAAUUCAGAACGAGCGCAAGCCAAAGCAAGCCAUAGCUCAUAACAAUGACUUAUGACUUACAGCGGCAGGCAGUUCGAUGCCGACGCAAAACGCGUCGCAGCGUCAACCCAAAAGACACAAAGCGACAGCACGGCAGCUCCGCGAGGGCAGCCGGGCGUAAAAAGGCGAAAAGCGAAUCCUCGAAGGAAUCGAAAGAUACACGGAAAGGAGAAAAGGGCACAUGAAGGAUGCCUUGGCUCUCGGAGGCGACGAAGGACGUGACAAGCUGCGAUAAGCCGUGCCCAGGGGCAAAUACCCGCCUAAGCACGGAUUUC